UACGUAGGCAGCGAGCGUUGUUCGGAGUUACUGGGCGUAAAGAGUGCGUAGGCGGUUUUCUAAGUCGGAUGUGAAAUCCCCAGGCUUAACCUGGGAACUGCAUCCGAUACUGGAUGGCUUGAAUCCGGGAGAGGGAUGCGGAAUUCCAGGUGUAGCGGUGAAAUGCGUAGAUAUCUGGAGGAACACCGGUGGCGAAGGCGGCAUCCUGGACCGGCAUUGACGCUGAGGAGCGAAAGCCAGGGGAGCAAACGGG
rnacentral:rRNA from 1 species